UACGUAGGGUCCGAGCGUUGUCCGGAAUUACUGGGCGUAAAGAGCUCGUAGGUGGUUUGUCGCGUUGUUCGUGAAAACUCACAGCUUAACUGUGGGCGUGCGGGCGAUACGGGCAGACUUGAGUACUGCAGGGGAGACUGGAAUUCCCGGUGUAGUGGUGAAAUGCGUAGAUAUCGGGAGGAACACCAGUGGCGAAGGCGGUUAGCUGGCCUGUAACUGACACUGAGGCGCGAAGGCUAGGGGAGCGAACAGG
rnacentral:rRNA from 1 species